rnacentral:rRNA from 1 species
GACGAACGCUGGCGGCGUGCCUAAUACAUGCAAGUAGAACGCAGUUGCGCACGGGUGAGUAACGCGUAGGUAACUGCCUCAUAGCGGGGGAUAACUAUUGGAAACGAUAGCUAAUACCGCAUACUGUGAGAUGGACCUGCGUGGUAUUAGCUAGUUGGUGAGGUAACUGCCCACCAAGGCGACGAUACAUAGCCGACCUGAGAGGGUGGACCGCCCCACUGGGACUGAGACACGGCCCAGACUCCUACGGGAGGCAGCAGGAGGGAAUCUUCGGAAAUGGACGGAAGUCUGACCGAGCAACGCCGCGUGAGUUAAGAAGGUUUUCGGAUCUGAAAGCUCUUUUGUUCGAGAAGCGUUAACUAACCAGAAAGGGACGGCUAACUCCGUGCCAGCCGCCGCGGUAAUUC